rnacentral:lncRNA from 13 species
AGAUUCAAACUGUACAUAAUUCGCGCCAAUUUAUUAGACUAAAUCGAACAGCCAAUCAAAAACAUGACAAAGUUUACUUUCUUUCCGAUUUGCGCCUUGCGGCGCAUGGCGCUCUAGUAUAACAUCAUGUUUCAGUCUCGCCUCGCGACAAAAACCAUUUGAAUUUUGAAACACGUCGAGAGAAGUCUUCAGUUUACUAGACUUUCUUUCUUGUUGAGAAGAGAAGUGCAUACGUAAUCGAAAUAAUAAAUAACGAAAACACAUGUGCCUCUCAAAUGGACAACAUUUAUUCUCUGAACAAGAAUAAUUAUCCGUUAGCAACAUGUAGUACAGAUUGUGGAUAUUUUAACGAUAUUCAAGAACAACAAUGCAGUGCUCUAAUGAAGCUUACUAAUGUCAUUCAUCAAGGUAUACAAUUACCUUUCAACGAGUGUUGUACAAGAAAUAGGCAAGAUAAAUAAGAAAAGAAAUGCCGCUAUUAAUGGUGAACUAUUGAAUGCAAAGCAAAUGCGACGAAACGAUACCAAUAAUUCUUUAUUAGGAUAAGAUGAAUCUGAUGAAUCUGACGAAUCUACAUCUGAUAUGAAGGCAAUAAGAGAAUCUCUACGAUUUUUAAAGGAGGAUGUUUGUUCCAUAAAAGCAAGUGUCAAUAGACUUGAAAGAAAAUUUAAUUUAUAAACUGAUUUCCGAACAACCAUAAAUGAAAUUGGAUUACCGAUAUCAAGUAGACAGGCUUACGUGGCAAUAGAUGCAGACAAUGAAAAAAUAAUUGCACUGCAGGGAUAUAUGCAAUUUAUAGGAGGAAUUAAUUUACGCGACACCCUUAGCGAAUUUAUGAAAGCAACGUUUAUUGAUAAGUUUGUUGCAAAAAACAUUACAUGUAAGCAAGGAAAAGGAGAUAAAUUGCAUUUCAGGGAGCGAUAAGUGUGGUAAAUAUGGAGCUGCCAGAAAUAUAACAAGUCUCAUCGAUGUUACUUUUAAAAAAUAUUUGGAAGAAAUAAAAACAGCAAUAAAAAACGCCUUCCAGCGAUAUUAUAUGAUGACAAUUGUACGUCCAUUCAGCGUUCAAAAAUCGACUGGAAAAGAGAGGGCAAUCCUGGCUAGAUAGCCUAAUUUAAAA